rnacentral:rRNA from 1 species
UUAGUGGCGAACGGGUGGAGUAACACGUGGGGAAUUCGGCCCAUGAGUGGGGGAUAACAUUCGGAAACGAAUGCUAAUCCCGCAUAUAUUUUUAGACCGCAUGGUCUUUAGAAGAAAGACGGCUUCGGCUGUCGCUCAUGGAUGAUCCCGCAGCGUAUUAGUUAGUUGGUGGGGUAAAGGCCUACCAAGACAAUGAUACGUAGCCGACAUGAGAGGGUGAUCGGCCACACUGGGACUGAGACACGGCCCAGACUCCUACGGGAGGCAGCAGUAGGGAAUCUUCCACAAUGGGUGCAAACCUGAUGGAGCAAUGCCGCGUGAAUGAAGAAGGUCUUCGGAUCGUAAAGUUCUGUUAUUAGUGAAGAACAAAUUGAGGAGUAACUGUCUCGAUUUUGACGGUAACUAACCAGAAAGUCACGGCUAACUACGUGCCAGCAGCCGCGGUAAUACGUAGGUGACAAGCGUUGUCCGGAAUUAUUGGGCGUAAAGGGAGCGCAGGCGGUUGGAAUAGUUUGAUGUGAAAGCCCACGGCUUAACCGUGGAAGGUCAUUGGAAACUGUCCAACUUGAAUGCAGAAGAGGUAAGUGGAAUUCCAUGUGUAGCGGUGAAAUGCGUAGAUAUAUGGAGGAACACCAGUGGCGAAGGCGACUUACUGGUCUGUGAUUGACGCUGAGGCUCGAAAGCGUGGGUAGCGAACAGGAUUAGAUACCCUGGUAGUCCACGCCGCAAACGAUGAGUGCUAAGUGUUGGAGGGUUUCCGCCCUUCAGUGCUGGAGUUAACGCAUUAAGCACUCCG